rnacentral:lncRNA from 1 species
UGGCGGGCGGAGGGCGGAGGCGCGGCGUGCCGCGGGAGCGCGCGCGCCUCGCCAGCUUUCAGGGGAAGAGGGCCUUUGCCGCCGUUCGCGUCAGGGCGAGUUCCGGGACGUCAGUGCGGUCUCCGCCAAUGGUUGCAAGAAAAACUCCUCGGCCCCUCGGACCAUCUUUCCUGUUUCCAAAUGCCGGGGACCAGUGUCUGUGACUGCGCCGCCUGCCUGAGGGCAUGUACUGAAAAGCCCUGCGACUCCAACAUGUGGGACUCACAAGCACCUUGGACAGGCCUCAAAACGCGGCUGACAUACAGAAUUUUUACCAUUAACGACCUGAGGCAGGACUGGUGGAGCUGAAUACAGACAAUAUGGAGGCCUCAGGCUCAGAGGAUGGCAGAGUCUUCAGAUGGAUGGAGGGAGCUGCAGUCACUGAACCACUGCAGGGAGAGAAGUACUCACAGACCAGGAACGCUCAACUUGGACUGUUAUGUGACAGAGUAAUAAUAAACUUCUAUUUUGGUUUGAGUAAUGUUGUGUUUUGGGUUUAUCUGUUUCUGCAAUCUAGCUUACUACCUUAAUGAAUAUAAGCUUUCUUUCCAUUAAAAAAUUUAUUAAUGUAUAAAUCACAUACCAUACAGUUCACUCACUUAAAGUGUACUAUUUAAUGGCUUUUGAUCUAUUUCAUUGUUAAUUUUUAGAAAUUAUGUUAAAGUAUAUAUAACACACAAUUUUUUAUUUUAACUAUUUUUAGAUGUACAAUUCAGUGGCAUUAAUUACAGUCACAAUGUUGGACAACCAUCACCACAAUUUCCAAAAUUUUUCUUAGAUGAAAAUUCUGAAACCAUUAUGCAAUAACUUCCCAUUACCCACUCCUUCCAGCUCCUGGAAAUCUUUAAUUUACUUUCUGUCUCUAUAAAUUCAACUAUUUUAGAUAUUUCAUGUAAGUGGAAUCAUGCAAUAUUUGUCCUUUUGGGCUUGGCUUAUUUUACUUAGUAUAAUGGUUUUAAGAUUCAUGUUGUAGCAUAUAUCAAAAAUUCAUUCCUUUUUAUUAUUGUCUCUCUCUCUGUCCAUAUAUAUAUAUACACAUAUA